rnacentral:tRNA from 1 species
GAGGUUGGAGCUCAGUGGUAGAGCGCUUGUGCAGCAUGUGUGAGGCACUGGGUUCGAUUCUCAGAACCACA